rnacentral:lncRNA from 1 species
GACUAGAGGUUGACUCUUCUCUUCCAUCACUUAUCAAACCUUUUGGAAAACAUUAUCAUUAGAUAUUUUGGAGAGGAUAUCUUUUUGACUUUAUGUAUGACGUUUGAACAUCAUAAGAAACCCUACAAUCAUUCUAUCGAGCUUACAUUAGUAUCAAUUAUACUCAAACAUUUUGGCACCAUGAAAGUCAAUCCUUGGAACAAUAAAAUACG